rnacentral:rRNA from 1 species
GACGAACGCUGGCGGCGUGCUUAACACAUGCAAGUCGAACGGAAAGGCCUCUUUCGGGGGGUACUCGAGUGGCGAACGGGUGAGUAACACGUGAGUAACCUGCCCUUGACUUUGGGAUAACUUCAGGAAACUGGGGCUAAUACCGGAUAGGAGCUCCUGCUGCAUGGUGGGGGUUGGAAAGUUUCGGCGGUUGGGGAUGGACUCGCGGCUUAUCAGCUUGUUGGUGGGGUAGUGGCUUACCAAGGCUUUGACGGGUAGCCGGCCUGAGAGGGUGACCGGCCACAUUGGGACUGAGAUACGGCCCAGAAUCCUACGGGAGGCAGCAGUGGGGAAGAUUGCACAAUGGGUGGAAGCCUGAUGCAGCAAAGCCGUGGGCGGGAAGACGGCCUUCGGGUUGUAAACCGCUUUCGCUCAUGACGAAGCUUUGUGUGACGGUAGUGGGUAAAGAAGCACCGGCUAACUACGUG